GGGGACCGCGCGCAUUAUCAAGAGGUGAUGGUGUAACUGAUGUCGGCAUGAAAAAAAGAUAAGUAUUAAUUUCACUAAAUAUGACUUUUUGCUGCAAUGAAAUCUUGCGCUAGCAGAUAAGUGAUAUACAUAUCAUUGUUCCGACGAUAUAUAUAUGCAAAAGCAUUGGAGAACGAUGAAAUCUUCUAAAAUUUCGGUUAGACUUAGUAUCGCGAACUCUUUUCAGUCACGACGGGAAAUCCCGGGGCUCUACGUCGUCCCAACCCCACAAGGGUCUUAAUUUUGAUUCUCUUUUGAUGUUUCAUUUUCAAUGAGAAUGAUUCACAUGACAACUGAAUCUCAAAUAUGCAGAACCACAUUAAUUCAUGUGUUAGAUAUAUCGGUAUCGUUUCUACCAUGUCCAUUUGUUGCUGCAUCUUCUGCGGAAUAAUUGUCUCUUUUUUGGUUUAUAUUUUCACAUUUUCUGACUGGUUCACAUCUUUAAACUUUUCCAAGUAGGUUUGAUUUGAACAAUGUUUACAUUUUCACUUUGUUAAAACUUCACACAAAUAUAUAGCUAAUGUGGUUCCUUUUUUUUUUCAUCUUAAGAUUUCUUUGGUUGCUACCGACUCAAAAACACCAUGAUUCCGUGAGCGAUGGAGACAUAUAUGCUGGUGUAUUAUUCUAUGGAAGUAUGAUAAUUUUGUUGAAUGAACAAUGUAAAGACAAUAUAAUAAACAAUUUCGUUCGAAACUUGAUUAUCAGGUCUGGUAGAUUUGGUAUGGUUUACAAAUGAGUACUUAAAGACAAUGUAAAGGUUGCUGUCAAGAGACAUAUGUCACGUUCAAGACAAGACAUUCCAAAAUUCCACUCCGAAAAUACCAAUAGAGCCGCAAAACUAUCUUGCGAACAAAUUAUGAGGUGGCCUGGUGGGCUGAUAUUUCACUUAUAAUGUUUCUCCAUUAAAAUCCUUUCAAGUAUUAUAUGACUGCAUUUUUUCAUAAGUAGAUGGUUCUAACAACAGUGAAAUUUCGCUUUGGGAGCUUGGGUUGCGAGAAAGGUUGGUUCUAACAACAUGUUCAAGAAAGUUAUCCUUUCAAUAACUUUGUCUCCGCUCCUGUAAGAAAAUCAUGAGCUUUUGUAUUUGAUUCAUCUACUGAUAUGGCUGCAUCAAUCAUGAAUUCAAGAUCUUUAGCCUUUGCGACACGAAGCGAAUGUUCUAUGGAUCGCGGUGUGGCAAGACACCAUAUUUUCUAAAUGUUUGUGGUUUAUUUUUUCUGCUAGGUUUCAGGGUGUUUUAGAAGACACAAAUGAUGCAGAAGUUGGUUGUGAAUGUGUUAAACUUUGGGUUCAGCAAUUUUAUCAAUGUGGCGAAGAAGUUGGCUGCGGUGUCAAACUCUAGGUUGAAGCAAUAGUCGGAGGCUGCUACUUUGUGGAGUUAGUUUGUCUGUUCAUGUAUAAUCUUGAUGAAUAAUAACUAUAACAUGGUUAUGUUACAGGUAUAUUUGCAACCGACAAAUGAACUAUUUGAGACGAUUUUUGGAGAUCCGAAAAAAGGACAGAUUUCGACGUGGAAUGUUGUGUCGAGGGUACUGUCUAGCUGAAUAUCAGUAGCAACUUUUCUGCUGCGACAACGUCGCAACUUCGAGUCUACAACCCAUCGUUAACUUUGGAUUUGCAAGGUAGCCUAAGUAUUUAUAUUUACUUCACCUUUAAAAUCCUGGGAAUUAUGUUUGGAAAAGGCUUUCUACUCCUUUUUAGAAUUUAGUUACUAAAGCAUCCUUGUGAGGUAGUGCAGAAGAACAUUCAAAUUUAGUAGUAGAUGCUACACAGAAAACAUCCAAAUUUAGUGAAGAACAUUCAAGUUUCCAAUGGUUACCAAUACCCUCUUCUAUCGGCGCUACUGCUCAAGAAGAUGGAGUAUAUUUUGCCAUUUAUUCUUUUCAACUAUAAUUAAUUUUCUUUUCCUUUGGAAUAUUAUAUUGCAUGCAUGCAUGGUUUGUGUUGUGUAGAACAGAUUCCUAUGCUCUUGCAUGUGAAUAAAGAGCAGCAAAUUUUCUGAA